AUUGGUACUAAGUGGUUGCAUAGCUGUGACUAGGGCUAUGACACUACUAAAUCAAAUGCCAGCUUAUUACAAGACAUAAGGAAUCCAUUAAAGUGGCUCAAGCAUGAAUUUCAGCAUAGAAUUGUGGCUCUGCAGAUGGUGAAGAAUCCUAAGAAUGCAUCAGCAGGUAGCUAUAGCACAGAUGAGAGAAUGGGAGUGGACAGUCUAUGAACAGGAGCAAGAUUGAAGAGUCGCUAACUGCAGCAUUGAUAGGACAUGAGGAAGGCCAUAGGUUUUAAAUCAGAAGAUAACAGGCGAAAGCUAAUGACACUAGAAGUGAGAUUAACUGAGAUUAAUUUCUCCAACUUCCGUUUUGAGCAGAAUUAGAAUGCCUGAAGAAAUAGUAAAGAUGAAAAAAAGUGAAGUUGAGAUACGUUACUGGCAAGGACUGAUGGCUUAAGAAGAGAUGUCACUGAUUCUCACAAGCAAACAAAGGACAAAUGCUGACAGCUACCUUCACUUCAAUUGUUAACAAGCAAUUUCCAUCAGCUUUAGUGUGAAAUGGAUCAGCCAAUAUGAACGCAUAUUGUGAAUGACUCACCCUGUAUCAACUGUCUAUACAUGAGUAAAGCCACAUGUCCCCACACUGCUGAUAGUCUUUAUUAUGGGCUUUCUUUAAGACUCUUGCCAUCGGUUGCUGUUUUUCCACCAAAUCUGAAAGAUCCUUAGAAUGAGUCACAGAAGCAACUGCCCAGGCUUCACCAACUGCAAUCCAUUGGAUGCAGGCAGUUAACUGACAUCGGAGAAAGGGCCAAGAGAACCGGGUUUACUUAUCAUGGACACGAAAAGAUGGAUGGCAACUGUGCAGAAGAUAAAGCCAGGCUUUUCUCAGAGGUGCACUAAGAGAGAAUGACGCAACAGAUGCAACUGGAAAUUCUGCUGGAAAUACCUGGAUUAGCACUGGAAAAUGUUGUCUGUAGAACCUCCAGUGUAGGGGAUUUUCAAAACUCAGCUGAACAAGGUUGUGAACAACCUGAUCUACAGUUGAAGUUCACCCUGCUUUGAGCAGGAGGUUGAACUUGGUCUUGGUGGCUUUCAGAGGUCCCAGAGGGAUAUUUAUAAAUAAACAGCAGCAGAAUGACUAACACAUUAGAAAGAAGAGCUUUUGUUACAGACAACAUCGCUGCAAAUAAUAUUAUCUUCACACACUGAUAUAGUGCAAGUUACUUUAAACAAGUAUGACACUGUCAGACAUACAAGCCCAUUAAAACAUUCUGGAACUCUUGCUAGUACUGUUUGCUAAUAAUCUUGUACACUGGACUUAUUUCAACUCAUUAGAAGCUUUAUAAGCUUAUUUUUAUAAUAUUUAUAACUAUACUUCAUGGAAAAAAAAAUGGACUACACUUCUGGAAGAAAAAGAUAAUCUGAGAAUUAAUUAAAAAAUAAAUCUUUUUAACUAUUAAAAAAAAAAAAAAAAGAAGUUUAACAAAAGCUAAAGAAUGUCUUAAAGAUAGACCUUGAUCAAUCCUUCACUUCAGCUGUGUUAGGUCUCUUGACAAUAAUUUGCUUUAGUUCUGAUGAGAGGUCCAUCUAAAAGUGUGUGGGCAAGCUGAGUAGUUUAGAGACACUUCAGAUAUGUUCAGAAAUGUUCAUAACCAAAGCACAGGCUUUCAGGAUACUGUUCUGCCCUGGUAUCUCUGUUUAUUCAUUACAAGUGUGAGUAUGUUACCAAUGAAAUAUAACUAGUUCUGUGCAACACCUUAAACCACUUUUUUCAUCUUUGCUCAAAUUGUGUCCUCCUGAAAUUUUGAUACAGCGACUUUCUUCUCAUGUGGUAAAAGUUGUAUCAUAUAAUAUUAUCAAUUACAUUCCCAAAUUGUAACAAAAUGAAUUCUCGAUGUAUUACACAUCCAAUAAAAAG
rnacentral:lncRNA from 1 species